CACAAAGUCUGCUCAUCUGGAAUGCGCCAGGGACUUGGAUACUGACCACCCUCGGGGCUUUGGAUCCAUCUUAGAGUCAACAGAACACUCGAGAGAGAAGGAGCAUACACUCAGAGAGGACAGCUAUCUAUAGGCUGAAGAAGCAGGCCUGCACCAGACACUGAAUCUGAAGACACCUUGAUCUUGGAUUUCUCAGCAAUGAACCACAAGAAGUAAUUUUUCCAUUGAUCAAGCUACCCAGUCUAAGGCAUUUUGUUACAGAAACCUGAAAAGAUUAAGAUAUUGGCUGCUGCUGCUGCUGCUGCUAAGUCGCUUUAGUCGUGUCCGACUCUGUGCGACCCCAUAGACGGCAGCCCACCAGGCUCCCCCGUCCCUGGGAUUCUCCAGGCAAGAACACUGGAGUGGGUUGCCAUU